rnacentral:lncRNA from 1 species
CGAGAACUUGCUGAAGCCGAUGAAGAGGGCCGGCACCCAGAUUUUACCAACGUUGUCAAGAGUAUCCCUGGGAUCGGUACCUUCCGUAACAGUUUCCUAGAGUGCCAAGUUUCCAGCUUACAGCCCACUCUGACAGCCCUGAUUGCAAAGUCUGCUGCAGGCUGCCAUUUCACAAGCUGCAUCAUAAUAUUAUUCUCAGUAAUUGCUGCAAUUGGGCAGGAUGCUCUGCAGUGCAAGCAUUAGCAGAGAUCUGCCAGGAGUGACC